AGAACGAACGCUGGCGGCAUGCCUAAUACAUGCAAGUCGAACGAACUCUUCGGAGUUAGUGGCGCACGGGUGCGUAACGCGUGGGAAUCUGCCCCUUGGUUCGGAAUAACAGUUGGAAACGACUGCUAAUACCGGAUGAUGACGAAAGUCCAAAGAUUUAUCGCCAAGGGAUGAGCCCGCGUAGGAUUAGCUAGUUGGUGAGGUAAAGGCUCACCAAGGCAACGAUCCUUAGCUGGUCUGAGAGGAUGAUCAGCCACACUGGGACUGAGACACGGCCCAGACUCCUACGGGGGCAGCAGUAGGGAAUAUUGGACAAUGGGCGAAAGCCUGAUCCAGCAAUGCCGCGUGAGUGAUGAAGGCCUUAGGUUGUAAAGCUCUUUACCCGAGAUGAUAAUGACAGUAUCGGAGAAUAAGCCCGGCUAACUCCGCGCCAGCAGCCGC
rnacentral:rRNA from 1 species